rnacentral:lncRNA from 1 species
CCGGGCCGUGCCCAGGUGUCCAUCGUGGACAGCGGCGUCCGCGGGACCAUCGCCGUGGGGCUGGUCCCGCACUGCCACAGCCUCGAGCACCCCCCGGGAUGGGGGCCCGGCUCCGUCGCCUACCACGCCGAUGAUGGAAAGCUCUACAGUGGCCGGGCCAAGGGGCGCCAGUUCGGCUCCAAGUGCAGCUCCGGGGACCGGAUCGGCUGUGGUGUCGAGAGGGGCUCGUUCGGAGCCCCCCCAGCCCAGGUUUUCUUCACCAAGAACGGCCAGAGGGUGGGGGGUCUGGGGGUGCCCCUGUCGCCCCCGGGGCUGUUCCCAGCCGUGGGGCUGCACUCGCUGGGCGAGGAGGUUCGGCUGCACCUGCCCCCCCCCGGGCCCCCCGAGGAUGAGGGGGGGGCCAUGCUGGUGGACAGCCUGGAGGAGGAGUGGGGGAGGCUCCACGACGUGCGGCUCUACGGCUCCGUGUUGGAGUACGUGGGGAAGGGGAAGAGCAUCGUGGAUGUGGGGCUGGCCCAGGCACGGCGGCCGCUCAGCCCCCGCAGCCACUACUUCGAGCUGGAGAUCCUGGACCCCGGCGAGAAGUGCUACAUCGCCCUGGGCGUGGCCAGGAAGGUGCGUGGGGGGCU